rnacentral:rRNA from 1 species
GAUCAUGGCUCAGGAUGAACGCUGGCGGCGUGCUUAACACAUGCAAGUCGAACGAAGCACUUUAACCUGAUUCUUCGGAUGUAAGGUUUUGUGACUGAGUGGCGGACGGGUGAGUAACGCGUGGGUAACCUGCCUCAUACGAGGGGGAUAACAGUUAGAAAUGACUGCUAAUACCGCAUAAGACCACAGAGUCGCAUGGCUCGGUAGGGAAAACUCCGGUGGUAUGAGAUGGACCCGCGU